rnacentral:piRNA from 1 species
UUGGAAGUUAUUGUACAUGCUAGCUGGUU